UUGUUCCAAUUUUGUAUGUUGUUUUUGUUGUUGUUGUAGUUGGGGGUCGAGCGGUGUUGGAACCGCCAGGGCCCGUUGCGCCCCGCGCCUGGAUUGGGUUCCCGUCGGGGUCAGUGUGACCACCAUCGUUCCCCCUGUCCUCGACUGCGGUUUGCCCAGCCCCGACAGUGGUGGUGCUCGACUCCCCCGAGGCAUUAGGGUUGCGAUCGGGGGCCGAUACCUGCCCGCUCGCCUGUUUGCCAGCGGAACAGCCAGGGGUUGCGCCAGUGUCCGCAAAAGGCCGGCCGCCACUUAGUGGGGGUCGUCCCUCGCUUCCACCUUUGCUUCCUCCAGCCAAGUUGCUGGCGUCCGCGCUUGGGCAGUCGGGUUCCUUUCGCUUCCCGCCUCCGUUUUCCCUACCGUCCGUCGGUCGGUUUUUCAAUUUGUCCGUCUGUUCGUCUGCCUGUGUGUUCGUUUGUUUUCGUGUCCGUCUGUCUGUCCUGUUCCCCUUGUUUUUCCGUCUUUGCUUGGGGGCCACAAGCGUCCAUGUGCUUGCGCUGGCAGGCACAGGGAUCGCUGCGGCUAGGGAGGACAUGUCCAUGUUACUAGCCGAGGUCGUUGUUUCCAUCAUUGUCGAACCGAUGGUUUGCGGGUCUUUGCCCCCUCCUGAUACGGUGGGGCAGCCUGGGCCCUGGGCGCCGUCGGUAGACGUCG